rnacentral:rRNA from 1 species
CGGGAAGAGCUCAAAUUUAAAAUCUGGCAGUGUAUUCUGUCCGAGUUGUAGUCUAGAGAAGCAUCAUCCGUGCUGGACCAUGUACAAGUCUCUUGGAACAGAGCGUCAUAGAGGGUGAGAAUCCCGUC